rnacentral:rRNA from 1 species
CGCGGCCUAUCAGCUUGUUGGUGGGGUGAUGGCCUACCAAGGCUGCGACGGGUAGCCGGCCUGAGAGGGUGUCCGGCCACACUGGGACUGAGAUACGGCCCAGACUCCUACGGGAGGCAGCAGUGGGGAAUAUUGCACAAUGGGCGCAAGCCUGAUGCAGCGACGCCGCGUGGGGGAUGACGGCCUUCGGGUUGUAAACCUCUUUCAAUAGGGACGAAGCGCAAGUGACGGUACCUAUGGAAGAAGCACCGGCCAACUACGUGCCAGCAGCCGCGGUAAUACGUAGGGUGCGAGCGUUGUCCGGAAUUACUGGGCGUAAAGAGCUCGUAGGUGGUUUGUCGCGUUGUUCGUGAAAACCGGGGGCUUAACCCUCGGCGUGCGGGCGAUACGGGCAGACUGGAGUACUGCAGGGGAGACUGGAAUUCCUGGUGUAGCGGUGGAAUGCGCAGAUAUCAGGAGGAACACCGGUGGCGAAGGCGGGUCUCUGGGCAGUAACUGACGCUGAGGAGCGAAAGCGUGGGGAGCGAACAGGAUUAGAUACCCUGGUAGUCCACGCUGUAAACGGUGGGUACUAGGUGUGGGUUUCCUUCCUUGGGAUCCGUGCCGUAGCUAACGCAUUAAGUACCCCGCCUGGGGAGUACGG